CCAAUAGCGUAUAUUAAAGUUGUUGUGGUUAAAAAGCUCGUAGUUGAACCUUGGGCCUGGCUGGCCGGUCCGCCUCACCGCGUGUACUGGUCCGGCCGGGCCUUUCCCUCUGUGGAACCUCAUGCCCUUCACUGGGUGUGACGGGGAAGCAGGACUUUUACUGUGAAAAAAUUAGAGUGCUCCAAGCAGGCCUAUGCUCGAAUACAUUAGCAUGGAAUAAUAAAAUAGGACGUGCGGUUCUAUUUUGUUGGUUUCUAGGACCGCCGUAAUGAUUAAUAGGGACAGUCGGGGGCAUCAGUAUUCAAUUGUCAGAGGUGAAAUUCUUGGAUUUAUUGAAGACUAACUACUGCGAAAGCAUUUGCCAAGGAUGUUUUCAUUGAUCAAGAACGAAAGUUAGGGGAGCAAAGACGAUCAGAUACCGUCGUAGUCUUAACUAUAAACGAUGCCGACUAGGGAUCGGUGGGAGUUAGUUUUAUGACUCCAUCGGCACCUCAUG
rnacentral:misc_RNA from 1 species